AACAAGUUAUAAUUUCUUUUCUGGAAGCUUAUCUCAAGAGAACUCUAAGGUUAAGCGUGCUUGGCCUGAAGCAAUCUUGGGAUGGGUGACCGACCGAAAAGUCAUUCUCGGGUGCGUGUAUGAGUGAGGACAAAGUGUGAAGAAAAGAUCCCCAAUCUUGGGAUGGGAAAGAUAUGUGUGUUGGUUGUGUGAGGGAAGUCUUGAUCU
rnacentral:lncRNA from 1 species